rnacentral:lncRNA from 1 species
ACACACACCCCGCCCCCCACACUCUAUGCAUAUAUGUGCCCGGGGCUACAGACAUAUAGUGCAGAUCUUUUACAAACUAAAACCUGCUCCCCCUCCCUUAGAUAUCCCAUAAUAACCACUCUUUGCCAACUUCUUCACUCUUGGCCUUACUGCUAACAUCCCAUAAUAACUCAUUACCCCUCCCUCCCCUUGGCCAUCCCAUAAUAAGCACCCCUCCCAGCACUUCAGCCUCAUAUCCCAUAAUAUUCAACCCAUCCCCCACCGACAGCCCAUAAUAACCACCCUCAGUUUGAUAUCCCAUGAUUGUCAGAAACUCACCCACCCCAUACUACAACAACGGACACUGGGCCUCCUCCCACACGGAUCCCGUAAUAAUCAGUCUCCCACUUUCUAUACUGAUAUCCCAUAAUAUCCAACCCCCCCAGAGCUGCCCUCAGUCCCUGCACUAGGGUUGAGAUUCUAGAUGCUCACUUUACCACCCACAGCCUUCCCAGUCUCUUUCUAGCUCCAUGGUCCAUAAAUUACCAUUCCUCCUAGCAAAGAGAUACUCACUAAUGAUCAGCAGCUCUGCUGUCACCCCACAAAUGGACAUCUAAAUCUCCUCCACUAACACUGGGAAAAUGUCCUAUCAUUUACUCUAUCUACUCUCGCAUCCCAUAAUUUCAAAAAGCCCACGAUACCAUAAUUGUCCCAACACAACCCAGUGCCACAUCCCAUAAUACUUCUGCUACACUCCAUCACCGCACACAGGUCUGGCCAGACAUCCCCUAAUUGUCACAACCUCCCCCACCUCUAGAAGUUGUCAGGCUCUUCCAACUAGAGCAGAGAGGGUGUGGCAAACUGCUAACUGCCCUGUCCCCACUAGCACACACUUUAGUCCCUUCCUGGGCAAUAGGAGCAUUCUGGGCUCUCAAAGUUCAGGACCCCCCGGACUCCCUAGCUCAUCAUUUGCAGACACUCAGGAACCAAGAGCCAACCUCGAGCCCCAACAAACCCCACCAAAUCCAGGGACCAUGACCUACAGGUUGAGAACUGCUGAUCUGGAGGAGUUUACAAGAGAAGGCUGGUCAAGAUAACUUCCUGCAGGGCCUGGUGAUGC